rnacentral:rRNA from 1 species
UGAGGAAUUUUGGGCAAUGGGCGAAAGCCUGACCCAGCGACGCCGCGUGGGCGAUGAAGGCCUUCGGGUCGUAAAGCCCUGUGAGUUGGGAAGAAGCCGCAGCGUGCUAAUACCAUGCUGUGGUGACAGUACCAGCAGAGGAAGCCCCGGCCAACUACGUGCCAGCAGCCGCGGUAAAACGUAGGGGGCAAGCGUUGUUCGGAAUUACUGGGCGUAAAGCGCGUGUAGGCGGCUUGGCAAGUCGGAAGUGAAAGCCCUCGGCUCAACCGGGGAACUGCUUUCGAUACUGCCAGGCUUGAGUGCGGGAGGGGAGAGCGGAAUUCCCGGUGUAGCGGUGAAAUGCGUAGAUAUCGGGAAGAACACCGGUGGCGAAGGCGGCUCUCUGGACCGUUACUGACGCUGAGACGCGAAAGCGUGGGGAGCAAACAGG